AGGGGAAGCCAGUACAAGAAGAUGAUGACCAAAGAAGAACUGGAGGAGGAACAGAGGAUUGAGCUGACCUCUGACCUCACCUCCCUGUAGAGGGUCCCCUAGCCCCGGGCCACAAAUGUUCUUGCAAACCCUUGUGGCCCAGCUGGAGGGGGCAUCCCCUGACCACACCUCUGUGCUACGUCUGAUGCUGGGGCUUGCAGAGGCUGCUCAGGCUGGCUUCGCCCUCCUGUCUCUGGGUUCUGGAGAGAAGAUAGCUACGAGACAGAACUGGACCCAGCCGAAUUUGGGGGAGCGGCCCUAGAACCUGUCCCCUGAGAAAUAGCACGAGUGCAGAGCUGGUGAGAUGGCUCAGCAAAUAAAAGUGCUUGCUGCC
rnacentral:lncRNA from 1 species